AGGAGGCUGAGGCAGAAGAAUCGCUUGAACCUGGGAGGUGGAGGAUGCAAUGAGUCACGAUUGUGCCACUACACUCUAUCCUGGGUGACAGAGCAAGACUCCAUCUCAA